rnacentral:pre_miRNA from 1 species
UGUGGUGACCAUUUGCGGGGUAACUCUCCAUUGGCGGGCAGGAGUAAGGGCUUAUAGUAAGAAUGCUACACCCAUCAUCAUGAAUGAUUAUGGUGGUGGUAGUCUAUUACAUAUCCGCCAAAGGAGAGUUGCUCAGCGAUUGCUCCUUACA